AAAAUUUGGCACCCCACAGCCCUGCCCUGCGUCCCCUGCCAGCUCACCCCCCGCACGGGUGUCUUCGCAACGUUGAUGCGCUCCGUUGGCUUCAGCUGUUGUUCAUGAGAGGAGACUCUCACGCCAGAACUGCUGGAGUCCGCACGUGAUUCUUACAUUUUCUCCUUCUGGUGAGAAAAACUUAGUUAUGUUAAAAACAUGAUUUGUUUGGAAGAAGUUCUUUGGAGCUCGUUCCGUUUUGUAUGGAAUCUCUACGCUGCUCUUCGGUACAUCGUUCCUAUGUGCAUAAGCUAGGUACAAAACGUAAGCGGUGGUUAGCAAUGCUGGAUUUACAAAUGAAGUCAAUUUUUAUGAAGUCCAAACGCAUCUACGUUUAACAGGGCAAACCAUAACAAUCGUGUAACUGUUAACUACAAAGUUAACAGGAGCAGGGUCUAGAAGAACAACUUUAAAACCUGUGUGAAUGACGGUAAGACCACUUCUAGCCAGUGUAUUUGGAAAUGCGCUCUCAGAAACGAUUGAGACAGACUUGUUGUGAAAAUGAGCCGCACAUUUAGAACUCUGCAAGGGCAGGUCAGAGCUUUAUUAACAAAAAUCCUACACAACGCACAAGAUAACAAAACCUCGAUGUUUAAGUGAUCCAUCUUGGUUAACGACAGCUUCCAUUUAGUACAACACGGCUGUAUUACCGUAGAUAAGCGCCUCUUCAGGCUUCUCUGUAACAUUUUUUCACUCAGAGCCAGAAGCGUUUUUAAGAUUUUAUCUUUAUUGCAAGCUCAGGGGAGACCGCACUUUACUCCUAGGUGGAGGACCACUGCAGGCCAAGCAUGACUGAGAGGAGCGGCUAGGACGUCGGGCUGAGCCCCAUCCCAGUCGGGAGGGACGUGACACCUCACACCAUCGUCUCUCACACUGUAAAAAAAAAAAAACUCAUUUGGAUUAACGUGGCCGGGAAAAUUCAUGUGCUGCGCAGCAACUGUCCGAAGGCUAGAGGUAAACAGAGCUCAGAUGGAGAAACCAUCUCGAGAGAGUCACUUGGGGUAAACUUCGUCUUUUUGAGUCCUUAUUUUAUAGGAGGAAAAUAAAGUCCUGAAGUCCUAUCAGGGCAGGUGAGACAAACUAUCUAUACCACAGGUAGUAUUUCCUCUUGAGAGUUGCAGGUCGAUACUGCUUUUAGCUAAGAAUCGCGUAACAGCAGCAUUUCAGAGAGGCUAUAUUUUCUUUAGUCCUGUGAAAGAAAGCGGCUUUAGGAUUUUUAGAAACCCCAUAAAUAAAUGGGGGGGGGGCGUUUGGUUUUGUUUUACAAUUUUAGGUUUCUUUAAAAUGUGGACUUGACUACACAUGAAAAAAACCCACCACCAAACCCAACCAUCUGCUUAGCUUCAUUUUAACUUUGUUCUCUUUCCUUCCUACAUGGAGUACUUGCAUUUGGAUAUGGUUUACAGCUUAAAAUGCAAUACACAGUAACAGCAUUAAAACCCGACAAGCUUUAUUUAACAGAGACUGCAGAAACCUUUACGUCUCUUUCUCUACCACCUCUAUCUUAAGCAAACUGUAAAGUACUUACUUACUUAAUAAAUGACCAAAACGGUACACUCAGACAAAAAUGGAGAUGAAUGGAAAUUCAAAAAAUAGGGAGCAAAGCUCUGCCUCCCAGACUCCUUCAACAUACCUAACAUAACCGAUGGACACGUAUCAGGAGUUCAGCGUCACGUUGUUUGGUUGACCUUCAGUUUUUAGUUUAAAUUUGAAAGAAUAUGAUAAAACCACAUUAUUUAUUGUGCAUCCAGGCAGUCAUGAGUUACUUGCAAUGAGCUUGCACUGAAAUGCUUUAGUAGUAACUAGAAAACGUAAGACAAAACUUAGGAAAAUACUCCAAACCAUCUGUGUCCUGUUAAUGCUGAACUGAUCCCAAAGAAUAAUGCCCCUACACGUGCAGCACUUACUAUUUCGUGGUUUAUUUUGAACUUCUUUGUUGUAGAAUACACAGAAAACAUGUAAGCAUUUUGACGUUUUUAACUCUUCUGAAAUAACAUACAGGCAACACAGGCUUGAAAUUCCACAUUGUAAACCCCCUUUGCUAUCCACCCAAACAUCUUUGACCAACAGAUUAUUGUUAGGCUUUUCAAGUCAGAAGGGCCCACAAUUUUCAUAUCAAAAUCACAAGUGCUUGGAAUUCUGAUUUAAUACAGCUUCCUGAACCACUUGCCUGCACGAGAAAAAGAACCUUAGGAUUUGGAAGAAAUCUUAGCCUGUGGUUUAGACUUCGGUUUUAGUACAAUAUUGUAGGCAGAUGCAGUAAAAUUUGGGCCCACCACUGACUUACAUGCUUAUAUUAGUUGACAGUCUUAAGCUUUUUUUACCUCUUGCAUGGCUGCUCAUGCUAGAACCUUUCCUGAUACUUGCUUUAAGCAGAAACAUUAGCUUCGUUAUGAAUUUUUAUGGUCUUUUAAGCAAUAAUAAGGUCAGACUCAAAUACAAACCAGAUUUGGAAAUGAGGGUUUUUUAAAAAAAAAAAAAACAACAUAACAGGAGCAGAAGUAUUUUACAAUGUAAAUUUCUUGCAGAAUUGAUGUCACUUUAGGUUACAAUUUCAGGCGGCAUCAACAGAUCACUGUGUAUAAACCUCCAUUUGUGAAAGCAAAAGCCUUGUAAUCUAUGAUCAAUGUUAUCAUUCUGGGGCACAAAUAUAAAAAAUACCCUGCUUGGUGACAGUUUUGUUUUUACUGCAGUCCUGCACAGCCAUUUCUCCGUGAUACUCGUUUCUUACUCUCUCAAGAGGAGCACUGUCUGCUUUAUCUAUCCAGUUUCUGAAGAUUGCGUAGUGUUUCAUAAUUACAUUUUUUUUUGAAAAAGCAAUACAAACCAUGCUGUAGUAUCAGUGUUCUUGUGACAAAUAAUUUAUUUCUAAACAUUUAACAUGGCAGGCUUAUAAAAAAAAAAAUUGGAGGGUUUUUUUUUAAGAUGUAUAAACAAUCAAACAAGUUAAACAUUUCUCACAGAGCUCUCAGGAUCUGACCACAGUACAACAAUCAAAUAACAGAUCCUAAAACCAUAGGAACAGCUGUAGUUUUACCUCUGUUUCUAGAAAUACAAUAGCGUUCUUCCCUCAGUUAUGCAAUACUGUAUCUUUAGCUAUUUAGUUUAACAAAAAAAAAAAUCUAUUUUUGAAAAACUUUGACCUUCUUAACAUACAUUCUUAGAACACUGACAUCUGAAAUACUUGUCUAGAGAGUAUUGUCCCCAAGACCUCAUUUUUAUAUCUAAGAAAAUAACACGUCCUAUAAUUCCAUCAAAAAACCAUGUGCAGUUGUUGAAGAUAGCAAAAUUCAAUACUGACCAUAAUCACAAUGUAACAAAAAACCUGGUGAAACCUCAAACUUGGUACUAGAGGUUUCUGCACCUCUUCUAAUUUGUCUCUAAGAGACUAUCUGAAAGACAGCCAAAUGUAAAUACGUCAUAACAUCUUAGCUGUAGUACAAAUAAGGUGGCAGUGCUCUGUCAUUCUAGAUGUACAGGAUGUAACUAUAGUAUCUUCACUGUGUAGUGGAUGUGUCAAGAAUAAUUAUGUUAAUGCAAUUGCAAAUUCUGUAUUGUUGUCUAUUAGCAGUGUAAACUACUGAAAACUUGGCCUUGCUGAUAUGAAUAAAGUGAUUAAAUACCCAUCUUUACAGAUA